AUGCAAGUCGAACGAUGAACUGGCGCUUGCGUCGGGGAUUAGUGGCGAACGGGUGAGUAACACGUGAGUAACCUGCCCUUAACUCUGGGAUAAGCCUGGGAAACUGGGUCUAAUACUGGAUAUUGACUUUUCCUCGCAUGGGGUUUGGUUGAAAGAUUUUUUGGUUUUGGAUGGACUCGCGGCCUAUCAGCUUGUUGGUAUGGGUAAUGGCCUACCAAGGCGACGACGGGUAGCCGGCCUGAGAGGGUGACCGGCCACACUGGGACUGAGACACGGCCCAGACUCCUACGGGAGGCAGCAGUGGGGAAUAUUGCACAAUGGGCGAAAGCCUGAUGCAGCGACGCCGCGUGAGGGAUGACGGCCUUCGGGUUGUAAACCUCUUUCAGUAGGGAACAAGGCCACACGUUGUGUGGUUGAGGGUACUUGCAGAAGAAGCGCCGGCUAACUACGUGCCAGCAGCCGCGGUAAUACGUAGGGCGCAAGCGUUAUCCGGAAUUAUUGGGCGUAAAGAGCUCGUAGGCGGUUUGUCGCGUCUGCCGUGAAAGUCCGGGGCUCAACUCCGGAUCUGCGGUGGGUACGGGCAGACUAGAGUGAUGUAGGGGAGACUGGAAUUCCUGGUGUAGCGGUGAAAUGCGCAGAUAUCAGGAGGAACACCGAUGGCGAAGGCAGGUCUCUGGGCAUUAACUGACGCUGAGGAGCGAAAGCAUGGGGAGCGAACAGGAUUAGAUACCCUGGUAGUCCAUGCCGUAAACGUUGGGCACUAGGUGUGGGGGACAUUCCACGUUUUCCGCGCCGUAGCUAACGCAUUAAGUGCCCCGCCU
rnacentral:rRNA from 1 species